GCUAGAGACCAUGUAGUGAAGGUAGACCAUGUAGUGAAGCUAGAGACCAUGUAGUGAAGGUAGAGACCAUGUAGUGAAGGUAGAGACCAUGUAGUGAAGGUAGAGACCACGGUGAAGCUAGAGACCAUGAAGGUAGAGACCAUGAAGGUAGAGACCAUGGUGAAGGUAGAGACCAUGUAGUGAAGCUAGAGACCAUGUAGUGAAGGUAGAGACCAUGGUGAAGCUAGAGACCAUGUAGUGAGAAGCUACAUUUAUUAUGCAUUGAAUGGACAAUAGAACAGCUUGACUCUCUACAAGUACAAGCAUAUCUAUAACUGUAUGUGUAAAUACAACUUUAAAACAUGUAAAUAAUAAAGGCAUAUUAAAGAUUAAGGAAGAGUGCAGCCUUUUAUAUGGCUUCAAAGUAGAGCCUCUAUACAACUUAAUACUUCUAUCAAAACCUAACAAGUCAACACAAGAAGUCAACCUAAAGGUUUUGGUUGUGACAUCAUCACAUGGCCCAAGAAGAUAAUGUACAGUAGUGAGGAGAGAUAAUUAGUACAGACAUUUUGUCAACACAUUCAUAAAGAUGACUUCCCCUGCCUCUAUGAGUUUUAUUAGCAGAGCUACCAAGAUUUUGUUUUGUUUAGACAAUGUAGGAACAAAUUGUGAACAACUUCAGAAUUGACAUGGUGAUAUUUUAGAAGUCAUGAACUAGAAUGUGAGGAGCUGUGUCCAAAUCAAGACGUGUCUGCUUUAAACUAACUAUUCAUUGUUUUUGUUGCCCACAUUGUGCACUAGGGUUUGAUCCAGUUCUAUUCAACUACUGCCUGCACUCAAACA
rnacentral:sRNA from 1 species